CCCCAUUCCCGUUCCCUAUUUUAAAGAUAGCCCAGUGAGACAUCUGGUAUGAUCUAUAAUCUAUGAUAUCGUGUCCUUGUGGCAUGAACGACAGUUUCCGAAGUAAAGUCGACGAUUUCCGUCACAACUCUGCCCGUUUUCCAGAAGCGAAUUUGUUCGCGCGAAUCUUUUGUCUUACGAGCUCUCGGCUGGAACUAAUUAGAUUUUUAUUCAAUUCUUUUCAAUUUAAACAAUAGCAAAUUCGCUUUGCGCGAAGAAAUUCGCAAGUGGAAAACCGGCUUAACAUUUUAGCGUUACAUAAUGGCAAAAACUAAUCCGUAACAACAAAUUCACCAGCUUAUUAUAGAGUCUGGCCCCUCUCGCCAUAAACAAAGACUGAGUGCCGAUUAGAGACGCGAAAGAGGCGUCCAUAUUUGGUUAAAUUGUGUUUGUACAUUGUAGGUGCUUCUACAGUAAGAAGCGCUUGCAAGAAUGAAUGUUAGAUUUUAUGAUGUUCUUAUAUAAUUCCCUAACUGCGAGAUCAUUCCCACGUUCCAAUAGAGAAGGAAGAGUGCCUCUAGGGACACCUAAUUAUUUAUAAACACCUGUUCUGCACUCUCUGCAGUUCUGUAGAAAAAUAGGCCGACAAACCUCCCCGACUGAUAUAUAGGAAGCGUACUCUAGGAGAGAGCGAAUCUUGGUACGGUAUGUUGUUAAACCAACUUCCGUGAGCAGUUUUGCCCUGUUGCAUUCCCGGAGAAUGCAAAAAAAAAGUACACAGUCUGUUCUACAGUAAAAACCGGUAAAAAAGAACCACGAAUUUUUAUGUCAGGCUGAAGUGGUAUAAUGGGUACUUAGCAAGAAAUCAGGACGAGUUAUUUCUUAACUGGUUCUUAUUUCUAUUCAAAAACAAAUCUUCCCAGUUUUCAGAAUUUUAAACUAUUUACUUCCUUACUUAAUUAGUGAGCUGUUGACAGUAUUACUAUACUAUGUUAAAUUUGCAAUAUAGUAUUAUAUUAAAUUUACCUGCCCUCAGAACAUGCUUUCUACCGUCCAGUUAAAGUACAAAAGUGAGGGUUGUUUCUUCAAUACGGGUUUUUACCGUAUCAAGCAAGAUUCCCCAAAUCUUAAAUAUUUACUCAUACAUUACAAACAUACCUGCUGCCACUACACAUCUCACUACGUCAGUGUGGCCAACCAAAGUAGCUUCAAAAUUUAAUGUAUCAGUAUCAGCUCGCCAUAACUUGAUAGUGUGGUCCCGAGAUGCAGUAGCAAUGUACAGUCCAUCUUUAGUAGUACACAGACUCGAGAUCACCUCAUCAUGUGCAGAAAUGACAUCCAAUUGUUCCCCUGUGGUCACAAGCCAUACUCUUAGAUUGCCUGGUACACAUGAUAAGAAUUAGUCAGGUUGUCGUCUGAGAUCGUUCAUUAAUUAUGUCUAACCUCAAAUGCGACUUUUGGUAUGUGUAAUAUUUGGGUCAUUCCGAGAAGAAAUAUAAUACAUCUUUGCGUGAAAAGUUUCAUCUUGAUAAAUUUUUUCACCUUCGAAAUUGCCGGAUAUGGUGUCACUAGAUGAAUUUUAGAAGCAAAAAACAAAGGCGAACUAAUUUGCAAUUCAUCAUAGCAAAAAGUUUUUCCCGACAAGCCAUAUUGCAUUUCUUUAAAAAUGACUAAAAUGUUAGAUAUACCAAAACUUAUAUUUAUAGGGUUAGUGGCACUUAUAGAAGAGGUAGCUAGGGGUUGUGUAAGAUCUGUUCCGCACAGUCACAGAGGGUAACUUGCAAA
rnacentral:lncRNA from 1 species